rnacentral:lncRNA from 1 species
CUGUAACUAAUGAAAAGACUGGGAAUAUGGAGAAGGUUACAGAAAAGGGAUCAAAUUCUCGAAAAGACGGUGGUUGCAUCGAACUGCAGCUGAUUUAUAGCUCAGAGUACUACAUGAAAAUGGAAGAGCUGUGGAGGGGACUUCACAUGAUUCCAUGGAAGCGUGCAGGACUAUAUCAGGUACUCAUGAACCUCGGAUCCUACUUCUUUUUCAUAAUCAGGUUUAACUUCAUCAAUGUAUAAUCCUAGUUUAAUAAU